UAUCCCAAUGGGCCAAGAUAUAAAGAUGCUUGGGUACUUACUAAAGUAGUAAGUGUAGCUGGGAUCAGACUUUAGUUCUCAACCCAGAUUGUUUUCCCUUCCAAUUAGAUCACGGGGCUGAGCAUAGAAUGCAGAAUUGAAGGAAGAAGAAAGAAGGGGAACAAGUGUCCUAAGAAUGGAUCUGCUGUAAUACAGACCCUUAGUCUUGUCCCAACCAGGGAUGUCAACACAUUUCCCCACGGGACUGAAGACACGCCUUGCUGUUAACUUGAACAUUUUUCAUCUUUUAAAAUAGCUUCCUUAUUUUUCUUUCUCUUCCCUAAUCAUGACAGAGUCACUUUGAAUGAUACAGACAUAUAUGGAAACAAAGUCCGGGUGACUUAUACUAUGUACCGUUAAGGGAUGUGAAUAAAGAACUCUGGACACAUCUCCACCUGCCACUUGAAGAAACUACUUUCCCCCAGAAGAGGAGCCGUCUGUGAGACAUACAUCACACCAGAGCCCUGGGUCUCUCUCGCGGCAGCGAAGGCACCAUGUGGGGUGGAUGUGACCAUCAAAGGACUGAGGGUCUCCUCAUGUCUUCCCAGGGAGCCUCCUGGGGUUCCUCAACUGCUCUUCAGUGCUUUGUGGCUAAACAGAAGAGUGACGGUCUUUUCUUGAUUCACAGAGAAAUCUGAGACAUAGAACUUGCUUAGUUUUAAGCCCCCACCCUCCAUAUUUAUUAUGAAUGUGUCACUGACAUUUAUCUCUGUUGAAAUCUACUCUGUGAUGCUAUUUGAUUUGGUACAAAAUCACACAGCUACUUUACAGUCAAUGCAUUAACGUU